GAUGAAGAACGCAGCGAAAUGCGAUAAGUAAUGUGAAUUGCAGAAUUCAGUGAAUCAUCGAAUCUUUGAACGCACAUUGCGCCCGUCAGUAUUCUGGCGGGCAUGCCUGUUCGAGCGUCAUUACGCCCCUCAAGUCCCCUGUGGACUUGGUGUUGGGGAUCGGCGAGGCUGGUUUUCCAGCACAGCCGUCCCUUAAAUUAAUUGGCGGUCUCGCCGUGGCCCUCCUCUGCGCAGUAGUAAAACACUCGCAACAGGAGCCCGGCGCGGUCCACUGCCGUAAAACUCCCCAACUUUUUAUAGUUGACCUCGAAUCAGGUAGGACUACCCGCUGAACUUAAGCAUAUCAAUAAGCGGAGGA
rnacentral:misc_RNA from 1 species